GUGUCAGUUUUGUUCUUGAAAAAUACAGUCUCUGUAAAAUAUUAAACAGAGUUACUGAGAAUUCACUAAAGUCUUAUUUUUAGGUAACUGAGCAC